UCAGCCGCGGGGCAUCACGGGAAGGGCGGCGGGGGUCGCUAUUGGCGGCGCGGGGCGAACGCGCUGGCCGGGCCACCUGCGGCUGCGGCGCAGCCUCUGGCGGAGGAAUCUGAGCCAGGCGGCGCGUGAUUGGUCGUGUGGUGUGUAGCGUCCGUCGGUGAUGCUUCCGCGCGCUGGCGGCCCAGGUGCAACCUGGGGAGCUAGGCCGCGGGUGGGACGCUUUAGGCUUGGCCAAGCCUCGAUUUUUGAGCCCUUAGAAACCAGCUUUCGUUCUGUCAUCUGUCGUGUGAAGCGCAGCCUCCUGGCCGCUUGGGCCGCCUCCGCCUUGACAUCUUGCGGCGAAACCGAGGAGCUAUUGUCUAGCCGAAGGGGGUUGUGCCUGUGUCAGCAGCUCUAGGGGCACCUUGCAAACUCAGAAGCUAAGGCAAGGCGAACCCUGUGAGUUUUUAACGAACCAGAUAAAAUAAGUUUUGUCAUUUGAACAUACACCCUUAGGCAAGACUUUGUGUCACCCGGACCAUUGCAUAAGAACGACGGUGUUACCGGGCAGAAUUGGUCAGUUGACCAGUUCUGGCCAGGACCAGAGGAAAUUUCCCCGUGGCUUCUGAGAAAGAUUUUCCUUCCUGAUACGAGAGAUGCACAGGAGGAGAAAGUGCUCCCCCCGCCCCCAGCCGCUUCCUGUUAGCAGUCUGGGAGAUGCUGUGAUGCUUGCACCUAGAAACCAUCUCAUGAGCAGGAACUACCAAACGGGAAAACAGAAGCCAUCCUGCUGAGAAUACAGAGUAGGGAGUAAAAAGCCCCUGGAUCCUAGGUGACAUUGUCAAGGGUCCAGAUGAAUCCCGGGACUGCCAACGGUUGGGCUUUUUAUGAAAUAAAAUAGUAAUGUUAUAUUUUAA